rnacentral:rRNA from 1 species
AGAUUGAAUGCUGGCGGAAUGCUUUACACAUGCAAGUCGAACGGCAGCACGGGGGCAACCCUGGUGGCGAGUGGCGCACGGGUGAGUAAUACAUCGGAACGUGUCCUAGAGUGGGGGAUAGCCCGGCGAAAGCCGGAUUAAUACCGCAUACGCUCGAAAGAGGAAAGUGGGGGAUCGUAAGACCUCACGCCCAAGGAGCGGCCGAUGCCGGAUUAGCUUGUUGGUGAGGUAAAAGCUCACCAAGGCGACGAUCCGUAGCUGGUCUGAGAGGACGACCAGCCACACUGGGACUGAGACACGGCCCAGACUCCUACGGGAGGCAGCAGUGGGAAUUUUGGACAAUGGGGGAAACCCUGAUCCAGCCAUUCCGCGUGAGUGAAGAAGGCCUGGUUGUAAGAC